rnacentral:rRNA from 1 species
GUGCACCAGUCGCGAAUAGUCUACAAUGGACGAAAGUCUGAUAGUGCGACGCCGUGUGUGCGAUUAAUUCCUUCGGGAUGUAAAGCACUUUUCUAUGAGAUAAAAGCUCUUUAGGUUAAUAGCUUAUUGAGACGGAUAUUAUUAUAGGAAUAAGCUCCGGCUAACUCCGUGCCAGCAGCCGCGGUAAUACGGAAGGAGCGAGCGUUGUCCGGAUUUACUAGGCGUAAAGGGCUAGUAGGCGACUAAUUAAGUUAUAUGUUAAAUCCCACGGCUCAACUGUGGUCCUGCAUGUAAUACUGGUUAGAUAGAGUACUGUAGAGGAAGGCAGAAUUCCUGGAGUAGCGGUGGAAUGCGCAGAUAUCAGGAAGAAUACCAAAAGCGAAGGCAGCCUUCUGGGCAGUUACUGACGCUGAAUAGCGAAGGUGUGGGUAGCGAACAGGAUUAGAUACCCCUGUA